CAGCAGCCGCGGUAAUACGUAGGUCCCGAGCGUUGUCCGGAUUUAUUGGGCGUAAAGCGAGCGCAGGCGGUUAGAUAAGUCUGAAGUUAAAGGCUGUGGCUUAACCAUAGUACGCUUUGGAAACUGUUUAACUUGAGUGCAAGAGGGGAGAGUGGAAUUCCAUGUGUAGCGGUGAAAUGCGUAGAUAUAUGGAGGAACACCGGUGGCGAAGGCGACUCUCUGGUCUGUAACUGACGCUGAGGAGCGAAAGCGUGGGGAGCGAACAGGAUUAGAUACCCGUGUAGUCCCUGUCUCUUAUACA
rnacentral:rRNA from 1 species